CCUACGGGAGGCAGCAGUGGGGAAUCUUGCGCAAUGGGCGAAAGCCUGACGCAGCAACGCCGCGUGCGGGAAGAAGGCCUUCGGGUUGUAAACCGCUUUCAGCAGGAACGAAAAUGACGGUACCUGCAGAAGAAGGAGCGGCCAACUACGUGCCAGCAGCCGCGGUGACACGUAGGCUCCAAGCGUUGUCCGGAUUUAUUGGGCGUAAAGAGCUCGUAGGCGGUUCAGCAAGUCGGGUGUGAAAACUCUGGGCUCAACCCAGAGCCUGCAUUCGAAACUGCUGUGACUAGAGUUUGGUAGGGGAGCGGGGAAUUCCUAGUGUAGCGGUGAAAUGCGCAGAUAUUAGGAGGAACACCGGUGGCGAAAGCGCCGCUCUGGGCCAAUACUGACGCUGAGGAGCGAAAGCGUGGGUAGCAAACAGGAUUAGAUACCCUGGUAGUCCACGCCGUAAACGAUGGGCACUAGGUGUGGGUUUCAACUAACGAAAUCCGUGCCGUCGCUAACGCAUUAAGUGCCCGCCUGGGGAGUACGGUCGCGAAGACUAAAACUCAAAGGAAUUGAACGG
rnacentral:rRNA from 1 species